rnacentral:rRNA from 1 species
UACAGAGGGGGCAAUCGUUGUUCGGAAUUACUGGGCGUAAAGGGCGCGUAGGCGGCCUGCUAAGUCGAACGUGAAAUCCCUGGGCUCAACCCAGGAACUGCGUCCGAUACUGGUUGGCUUGAAUCCGGGAGAGGGACGUGGAAUUCCAGGUGUAGCGGUGAAAUGCGUAGAUAUCUGGAGGAACACCGGUGGCGAAGGCGACGUCCUGGACCGGCAUUGACGCUGAGGCGCGAAAGCCAGGGGAGCAAAGCGGG